UUGAGAUAAAUCAUUCAAGUUUCUGCCCUAUCAGCUUUCGAUGGUAGUGUAUUGGACUACCAUGGCAGUUACGGGUAACGGAGAAUUAGGGUUCGGUUCCGGAGAGGGAGCCUGAGAAACGGCUACCACAUCUAAGGAAGGCAGCAGGCGCGUAAAUUACCCAAUCCUGAUUCAGGGAGGUAGUGACAAGAAAUAACAACCUGGGGGACUUCGUCCUUACGGGAUUGCAAUGAGAACAAUUUAAAAGACUUAUCGAGGAACAAUUGGAGGGCAAGUCUGGUGCCAGCAGCCGCGGUAAUUCCAGCUCCAAUAGCGUAUAUUAAAGUUGUUGCAGUUAAAAAGCUCGUAGUUGAACUUCUGUGCAUACUCAAUUCUGGCUUCGGUCAAGUUGUUGUGUGUACAUCCGCUUGUGAAACCGGACCGGCCUUUACUGGUCGACCG
rnacentral:rRNA from 1 species